rnacentral:rRNA from 1 species
UGGCGGACGGGUGAGUAACGCGUGGGUAACCUGCCCUAUACAGGGGGAUAACAACCAGAAAUGGUUGCUAAUACCGCAUAAGCGCACAGGACCGCGUGGUCCGGUGUGAAAAACUCCGGUGGUAUAGGAUGGACCCGCGUUGGAUUAGCUGGUUGGCAGGGUAACGGCCUACCAAGGCGACGAUCCAUAGCCGGCCUGAGAGGGUGAACGGCCACAUUGGGACUGAGACACGGCCCAGACUCCUACGGGAGGCAGCAGUGGGGAAUAUUGCACAAUGGGGGAAACCCUGAUGCAGCGACGCCGCGUGAAGGAAGAAGUAUCUCGG